UACGAACUGUGCGAACGUUAUUCGGAAUCACUGGGCUUACAGGGUGCGUAGGCGGCUUGUUAAGUAGGGUGUGGAAGCCCCCGGCUCAACCGGGGAAUGGCGCCCUAAACUGGCGAGCUGGAGUGAGAUAGGGGUGUGUGGAACUUCCGGUGGAGCGGUGAAAUGUGUUGAUAUCGGAAGGAACGCCGGUGGCGAAAGCGACACACUGGAUCUUGUCUGAUGCUGAGGCACGAAAGCCAGGGGAGCGAACGGGA
rnacentral:rRNA from 1 species